GAUGAACGCUGGCGGCGUGCCUAAUACAUGCAAGUCGAGCGAACGGACGAGAAGCUUGCGUCUCUGAUGUUAGCGGCGGACGGGUGAGUAACACGUGGAUAACCUACCUAUAAGACUGGGAUAACUUCGGGAAACCGGAGCUAAUACCGGAUGAUAUUUUGCACCGCAUGGUUCAAAAGUGAAAGACGGUCUUGCUGUCACUUCUAGAUGGAUCCGCGCUGCAUUAGCUAGUUGGUAAGGUAACGGCUUACCAAGGCAACGAUGCAUAGCCGACCUGAGAGGGUGAUCGGCCACACUGGAACGUAGACACGGUCCAGGCUCCUACGGGAGGCAGCAGUAGGGAAUCGGCCGCAAUAGGCGAAAACCUGACGGAGCAACGCCGCGUGAGUGAUGAAGGUCUUCGGAUCGUAAAACUCUGUUAUUAGGGAAAAACAUAUGUGUAAGUAACUGUGCACAUCGUGACGGUACCUAGUCAGAAAGCCACGGCUAACUACGUG
rnacentral:rRNA from 1 species